CGGGGCCUUGAGGCGCUGGGGCGGGAUUGGCAGGGGACGGUCGCUGAGCCCCGCCCCGGAGUACAGGGUCGAGUCCCUCCUUUCCACUCCAACGCACGGAGAGUGAGGUCGGUGCGCGGUGGCGUCACGGCGCCAGCUCCUCCCGACGCCGAGACCAUGGGGGCUCAGCUAAGCGGCGGCCGCGGCGCCCCGGAGCCUGCGCAAACCCAGCCCCAGCCCCAGCCCCAGCCCCAGCCCCAGCCUGCGGCGCCGGAGGGCCCGGAACAGCCCCGGCAUCCGCCCCAGCCCCAGCCCCAGCCCCAGCCCCAGCCCCAGGCCCAGCCCGAGCCCAGCCCGUGGGGGCCGCUGGACGACGUGCGCUUCCUCAUCGCCUGCACUUCCUGGUACUGACGGCGUCCUCCGGAGGAUGUCGCCCCUCUGUCCGCCGUCCCCUGUGGUUCUUGCCUGCCUUGUCUCCUCUCCCCACGUCCCUGCGUCUCUUACACCCCCUCCCACCCGAGGCUCCCCAGAGAUAGCAGAGAAUUCGAAGAGGUCGCCGGGGACUGGAAAGAAGUCCCGGCAGGGCCGCCUUCGCAGUCUACACCCAGACCCAGCUCAGACCUUCGUGACCACCCCAUCCCUUUCUCCGGCUGGCUGGGUCGGGGGCAUCCCUCUCUGUCGCUGGCUUCCAGAGGCAGGGCAGGCCUCCUGAUUUGGUAACUCGAGGCGUCCCUGGAGUACACUGAGGAUAAGUGUUUGAGAAAUGCUGUCUGAAGGAAUGAAGUCAGUCUAUGACAACGUCUCUCUGCCGUGAAUCAUUCCUGCAGAUGAAAAAGUGUGACUUGGCAGCUGCAGAGUGCCCUUGGGCAAAUGACCUAACUUCUCUAAGCAUCACAUUCCUCAUCUGUUAAACAGAUGUUUAAAGAAGGGCCGUUAGGAGGACUCAAUGAGAUGAUGCACUGUGGUAGGUAAAAUAAUGAUCCUUCAAAGACAUCCACAUCCUAAUCCCCAAAACCUGGGAAUAUGUUGCCUUAUGUGGUAAAAGAGACUUUAUAGAAAUGAUUAAGUUAAGGAUCUUCAGAUGGGGGAGAUUAGCCCAGAUUAUCCAGGUGGGUCUAAUGAAAUCACAAGCAUCCUUAUAAGAGGAAGGCAGGGGGUUUGAGUCAGAGAAGGUGUUGGGAGACAUAGGUUGUAGCAGUGCUGCUGCUGCUAGAAGGGGCCACAAGCCAAGGGAUGCGGGCAUUCUCUCGACACUGGAAAAGGCAAGGAAGAGAUCCUCUCCUAGAAACUCCAGCAGGAAUGCAGCCCUGCCAAUAACUUGAUUUCAGUCCAGCAAGACCCAUUUUGGACUUCUGACCUCCAGAAAGCCAAUCUAAAAAGGGCCCUCAGGAUCGCCCACAAUGCCCAGCUUAGCUUCUUGACAAACACCUUAAUGGCGCAGCAUUGCCUGUUGGCUGCCGUCGGCUCUUGAGUGGGUGGGCUCUGGGCUACUUGGGAUGCUGAAAGGAAAAAAAAACACCCAAAACCAAAAACAAAAAUGAGAAGGCCGAUUUCCUGGAGUGCAGAGGUUUACAGCUUGAUGAGAAAACAGAAACGCAAAGAAAAACAAUGGCAAACACCACGUGUCAACAAGGAUACAGGCGGCUGCUCUAGGGGUCAAGGGAGACCUGAUGAGGGGCUGGGGAAGUUAGGAAAAAGUGUAAUGGAGGAGGGUGGGACUCUAGCUAGGACCUGAAGGAAAGGCUGGAUUUAAACCAGGGGAGGGGAGAGGAGAGGGCAUUUCAGGGAGGAAGUUGAGGGUGUACAGGAUGUGCCUGAGGCGGCAGAUAAGUUUCUCUGGAGCACAGGGUUCCUAUAGGAAAGUGUUGGGAAGAGAGGGAAGUAGUACAAGACAGUGAAUGCUAGGAUAAUAAAUUUGGGUUGUGUUCUGAAGGAAAAUGGGGGAGGGUGGUCAUUAAAGGUUGUGUGUGUGGUGUGUGUGUGUGUAUGUGUGUGUUUAAGCAGGAUGUGUGAAAAAUAGCAUUUUAUGAUUACAUGGUAAUUUGGAGAUGAAAAAAGGGCACAGGCUUUAGCGUCAGACCUAUGUUCAUAUCUUGGCUCUGUUCCAUUUUUAUAAAAUGAUGCUACUAUUACUGUAUAAGAUUGCUUUCAGCAUGAGGUGCUUGACACUUAAUAGAUAUUCCAUGUUAGUUCCCCUCCCAGUGGAGAGAAUAAUGACCAGAGGAGGCAGAGAGAUUGGUUAGGAGACUAGUGUAAUAGUCUAGGUAUAAGGAAAUAAGGAUAACAAUAAUAAUUAACAUUUAUUGAGUGCCUAAUACAUACUAGUUACUGGGCUAAGCACUUUCCUGCACGAUAUCUCAUUUAAUCUUCAUAGAUAAACCCUAUGAAAUAGAUGCUAUUAUUACCCCUAAUUUAGGAUAAAGAAGUGGAAGGGUCUGAAUAAGUUUGCCAAACUUGCAUGGUUCAUAAGUGAUAGAGCUGGAUCGAUUUGACUUCAGAACCCAUUUUUUUCUAGGAUGGGGGUGAGAAAAGAGACAGAUUUAAGAGACAACGGGCAUACAAGAAGAGGGAAAGGAGUUUGGAGUGAUGGCAAAUCGAGAAAGAUGGAUGGUAGCAUCUUCACAGAAACGGAGUCCUCAUGUGGAGGAACUGGCUUGAAGGAGGUGACAAGCGGCUCGGUUUUAGACUUGCUGAAACUGGGGUGACCACAAGAUCUGUGAGAUGGGUAUGGGAAUGAGUUCUCGAAGAAGGUGGAGAAUGGAUAUUUUGGACACCUUCAAGUAAAUAUGGUAGUUGAAGCUGAAAGCAAAGAGUUGAAGAGAGCAAAAGGCCAAGCGUUCCAUCCUGAGACAUACAUAUUCAGAGCCUGAGAAAAGUCAAGCCAAAAGUGAAUCUAAAGAUUGUCCAAAAAGACUGAAGAAUCAGGAUUGUGGAGUAUCACUGGAAAGAAGAAGAGAGGUUCAAAGAAAAGGAAGGAGUUGGCUGGGCGUGGUGACUCACACCUGUAAUCCCAGCAUUUUGGGAGGCCAAAGCAGGCGGAUUACAUGAGUCCAGGAGUUUGAGACCAGCCUGGCCAACAUGGUGAAACCCUGUCUCUACAAAAAAUACAAAAAUUAGCCAGGCAUAGUGGUGCACACCUGUAAUCCCAGCUACUGAGGAGGCUGAGGCCUGAGAAUCGCUUGAACCUGGGAGGCAGAGGUUGCAGAGAGCUGAGAUUGUGCCACCGCACUCCAGCCCAGUAACAGAGUGAGACUCUGUCUAAAAAAAAAAAAAAAAGAGAGAGAGAAGGAGUUGACAGUCUCAGGGAAAUCAAAGAGACUGAAGACUAUUAACACCAUUGAGGUGAACAGCUCACAGUCCUGGUAGGGAGGUGAUAGAGACAAAUCAUUGUGGUUACAUGAUGAGUUAUGACACGAAUGAGAACGAAGUGUUGUGGAAACAUUUAGGAAAGAGCAAUGAACUGCCAAAGUUGGAAGGUUUGGGAGGGGAUAUAUUCCAGAAAGAAGAAAUAGUAUAUUCAAAGAAUGAAGGGGAACAGACUGGACUGAGCUCUGUCUUAUUCUUCUCCUUUCCUCUAAUACCAAAUGCUUGUGGAACUGCCAGUGAUGAUAUAGCGCUGUGGUGGUCCACCUUGACCAGCUCCCAAGGAUGGCGGAUGUGAACGGCAGUAGGUAUUGAUGAUAAGGAAAGAAGAGGCUGAUAGAAGUCAAUGGUUGCUUAUAAAAUGGAUCCCUAAGAUAGUCCUUAGUAAGAGGACGGUCCAGAGACUGCUGUGAAAACAGUUCAAGAGGAGGUUUAGAAGGUUUCAGAGCAACACCCCAAGAUAGAAUCACUGGAACUCUGACUUCACAGCCUCCAGUCACCAUGAUGAGCAUGGGAUAAAAUGGAAACAGCACUUGACUUAACGUCGGAUACCUGAUUCAAGCUCUGGCUCUGUCACUGACUUUUGGUGUGCCUUCCAGCAAGUCACUUCAUUUAUUUGGGCCUUAGUUGCCUCAUAAAAUGAAAUGAAUGACCUCUGUCUUCUCCACUUCACUGGAAAGACCACAUGAGUGGUUGGAAUUCACUUAAUGAACUAUAUGGUAAACUGACCAGCUCCUAGGAAAAGCUUUAUUAUUAUUAUUAUUAUUAUUAUUAUACUUUAAGUUUUAGGGUACAUGUGCACAAUGCGCAGGUUUGUUACAUAUGUAUACAUGUGCCAUGUUGGUGCACUGCACCCAUUAACUCGUCAUUCAGCAUUAGGUGUAUCUCCUAAUGCUAUCUCUCCCCCUCCCGCCACCCCACAGCAGUCCCCGGAGUGUGAUGUUCCCAUUCCUGUGUCCAUGUGUUCUGUUGUUCAAUUCCCACCUAUGAGUGAGAACAUGCAGUGUUUGGUUUUUUGUCCUUGCGAUAGUUUGCUGAGAAUGAUGAUUUCCAGUUUCAUCUAUGUCCCUACAAAGGACAUGAACUCAUCAUUUUUUAUGGCUGCAUAGUAUUCCAUGGUGUAUAUGUGCCACAGUUUCUUAAUCCAGUCUAUCAUUGUUGGACAUUUGGGUUGGUUCCAAGUCUUUGCUAUUGUGAAUAGUGCCACAAUAAACAUACAUGUGCAUGUA